UGCCAGCCGCCGCGGUAAUACGGAGGGGGUUAGCGUUGUUCGGAAUUACUGGGCGUAAAGCGUACGUAGGCGGAUCAGAAAGUAUAGGGUGAAAUCCCGGGGCUCAACCCCGGAACUGCCUUGUAAACUCCUGGUCUUGAGUUCGAGAGAGGUGAGUGGAAUUCCGAGUGUAGAGGUGAAAUUCGUAGAUAUUCGGAGGAACACCAGUGGCGAAGGCGGCUCACUGGCUCGAUACUGACGCUGAGGUACGAAAGUGUGGGGAGCAAACAGGAUUAGAUA
rnacentral:rRNA from 1 species